rnacentral:rRNA from 1 species
GACGAACGCUGGCGGCGUGCUUAACACAUGCAAGUCGAGCGGUAAGGCUCCUUCGGGAGUACACGAGCGGCGAACGGGUGAGUAACACGUGAGCAAUCUGCCCUUCACACAGGGAUACCUCCGGGAAACCGAAGCUAAUACCGGAUAUGACGCGUACAGGCAUCUGGGUGUGUGGAAAGAUUUUUUGGUGGGGGAUGUGCUCGCGGCCUAUCAGCUUGUUGGUGGGGUAAUGGCCUACCAAGGCUUCGACGGGUAGCCGGCCUGAGAGGGUGACCGGUCACACUGGGACUGAGACACGGCCCAGACUCCUACGGGAGGCAGCAGUGGGGAAUAUUGGACAAUGGGCGGAAGCCUGAUCCAGCAACGCCGCGUGAGGGAUGACGGCCUUCGGGUUGUAAACCUCUUUCAGCACCGACGAAGCUUUUGGGUGACGGUAGGUGCAGAAGAAGGACCGGCCAACUACGUGCCAGCCGCCGCAGUAAGAC